rnacentral:rRNA from 1 species
AAAUUAUACAAUGGAGAGUUUGAUCCUGGCUCAGGAUGAACGCUAGCGGCAGGCCUAACACAUGCAAGUCGAGGGGCAUCACGAGGUAGCAAUACUUUGGUGGCGACCGGCGCACGGGUGCGUAACGCGUAUGUAACCUACCUAUAACAGGGGCAUAACACUGAGAAAUCGGUACUAAUACCC